UGCGUGCCCGUGGAGUCCUGCCUGUGCCCCUCAACAAUAACAUUUAACUAUUAAUCACAGUUUUGCGAAAUAAAAGGAUCUGGCUUGCAUCAGUCACAUGACUACCAUUAACCAAUGAUCGCCCUUGACGGAAGAGCGCGCUGGUUAUGAACUGGGAACGAGCACGCGCAUUUUUUGCCGUCUGAGCCGUCGGAGAAACACAGGUUAAUUGGGAGAGGCAGACUGAUGCAACAAAACUCAGCAAGUAAUAUCUACAGUCCCAGAUCAACAGAGCCCUUCCCUCCGGCACUAUCAGCAGCAGCAACCCCUCAACAGUGCCAUUGUACCGCAUCAGGUCCACAGCAGGGACAGGUCUCUCCAGCACCAGGAUCAGUUCUUUGCCAAGGUUGAACCACUCCAGCAAGGACACAGGUGCUGAUGUUCCCACUGACCCUUCUGCUUCACCUGCGAGUUUAAGCAUAAUGGCCAC